CUACGGGUUGCACCAGUGGGGAAUAUUGCACAAUGGGCGCAAGCCUGAUGCAGCCAUGCCGCGUGUAUGAAGAAGGCCUUCGGGUUGUAAAGUACUUUCAGCGGGGAGGAAGGGAGUAAAGUUAAUACCUUUGCUCAUUGACGUUACCCGCAGAAGAAGCACCGGCUAACUCCGUGCCAGCAGCCGCGGUAAUACGGAGGGUGCAAGCGUUAAUCGGAAUUACUGGGCGUAAAGCGCACGCAGGCGGUUUGUUAAGUCAGAUGUGAAAUCCCCGGGCUCAACCUGGGAACUGCAUCUGAUACUGGCAAGCUAGAGUCUCGUAGAGGGGGGUAGAAUUCCAGGUGUAGCGGUGAAAUGCGUGGAGAUCUGGAGGAAUACCGGUGGCGAAGGCGGCCCCCUGGACGAAGACUGACGCUCAGGUGCGAAAGCGUGGGGAGCAAACAGGAUUAGAUACCCGGGCAGUC
rnacentral:rRNA from 1 species